rnacentral:rRNA from 1 species
GACGAACGCUGGCGGCGUGCUUAACACAUGCAAGUCGAACGGCAAGGCCCUACUUUUGUGGUGUGCUCGAGUGGCGAACGGGUGCGUAACACGUGUGUAACCUGCCCUUCACUUUGGGAUAACUUCAGGAAACUGGGGCUAAUACCGGAUAUGAGCUUCCGCUUCAUGGUGGGGGUUGGAAAGUUUCGGCGGUUGGGGAUGGACUCGCGGCUUACCAGCUUGUUGGUGGGUGAGUGGCUGACCAAGGCAUGGACGGGUAGCCGGCCUGAGAGGGUGACCGGCGACAUGGGGACUGAGAGACGGACCAGACGCCUACGGGAGGCAGCAGGGGGGAAUAUUGCACAAUGGGCGGAAGUCUGAUGCAGAGACGCCGCGUGCGGGAUGACGGCCUUCGGGUUGUAAACCGCUGUCGGCUGUGACGAAGCGGGAGUGACGGUAAUGGAUGAAGAAGCACCGGCUAACUACGUG